AUUGAACGCUGGCGGCAGGCCUAACACAUGCAAGUCGAGCGGAUGAAGGGAGCUUGCUCCUGGAUUCAGCGGCGGACGGGCGAGUAAUGCCUAGGAAUCUGCCUGGUAGUGGGGGAUAACGUCCGUAAACGGGCGCUAAUAUCGCAUACGUCCUGAGGGAGAAAGGGGGGGAUCUUCGGACCUCACGCUAUCAGAUGAGCCUAGGUCGGAUUAGCUAGUUGGUGGGGUAAAGGCCUACCAAGGCGACGAUCCGUAACUGGUCUGAGAGGAUGAUCAGUCACACUGGAACUGAGACACGGUCCAGACUCCUACGGGAGGCAGCAGUGGGGAAUCUUGGACAAUGGGCGAAAGCCUGAUCCAGCCAUGCCGCGUGUGUGAAGAAGGUCUUCGGAUUGUAAAGCACUUUAAGUUGGGAGGAAGGGCAGUAAGUUAAUACCUUGCUGUUUUGACGUUACCAACAGAGUAAGCACCGGCUAACUUCGUG
rnacentral:rRNA from 1 species